rfam:Anopheles christyi strain ACHKN1017 cont1.3807, whole genome shotgun sequence.
AAAACGGUCCUUUUCAGGACCACCAAUUAUGUUUGGUAUAAGAGUU